rnacentral:rRNA from 1 species
UGGGGAAUAUUGGACAAUGGGCGCAAGCCUGAUCCAGUCAUGCCGCGUGAGUGACGAAGGCCUUAGGGUUGUAAAGCUCUUUUGGCGGGGAAGAUAAUGACGGUACCCGCAGAAUAAGCUCCGGCUAACUUCGUGCCAGCAGCCGCGGUAAUACGAAGGGAGCUAGCGUUGUUCGGAAUCACUGGGCGUAAAGCGCACGUAGGUGGGCAGUUAAGUCAGGGGUGAAAGCCCGAGGCUCAACCUCGGAAUUGCCUCUGAUACUGGCUGUCUAGAGUUCGAGAGAGGUGAGUGGAAUUCCUAGUGUAGAGGUGAAAUUCGUAGAUAUUAGGAAGAACACCGGUGGCGAAGGCGGCUCACUGGCUCGAUACUGACACUGAGGUGCGAAAGCGUGGGGAGCAAACAGGAUUAGAUACCCUCGUAGUCCCUGAG